GAUGGAAGGAUACUAUAUUAAAGUAAGGAGUUAACUAUAUUAAAUUUAAUACAAUUUUAUUGACAGAUUCACAUUGUUUGAUUUUAUUUACAAUCAUUUAUUGAUGCCCAUAAUUUUGACCCCUAUGGUUUUAAGAGAAAAAAAUCAUUCUGGAGCCCACUGUAUUUGGUCGGCCCACAGAGUGUGAAGAACUAUAUGCUUGUUUUCAGUCAGCAGAAUUCUGCAUAGCAUUAAGUAUGCAGGUUAUCUGGCACAUAAUGUUUAAGUCUUGUUUGCCCUAUGUAUUUAUACCCAGCAAGCACACGUGAAGGCAGAAAGGUGUAGAAGUGAUUACUUGAGCAAACGUGCUCCUGAGUCUCCCUCUUUACCCACCGGCCCUUUUCUGUUUGCACGCGCUGUCAGGAUGGGUCCUCGUUUCCACAUCACGAGGGGGCGAAUGAAAGAAUCUCUUUACUCAAACUCGAGGAUCAGCGCACAAGGGCGACACGGAAAUUAGCGGAGCCCGGCAAACAAGGAGCGGAUACAUCAAAGUAGGGGAGUAGCUACUGCUCUGUACACAUUUUUGUCAAUAGGUAAUUGUUGGAGAGGAGUACACACAGUGCACUUUAGAAAACAAAACAAUAAGGGCCGUGUAUCAUAUCUCGCACGUGCUAGCCUUACAGAACGCUUCAUGGCUUAUGGGGAGCCAUGGAAACGGUCCGCCCAAACAGGGUUACUAUAUAUGGGGGGGGGGGGGUGUUUGCACAUCAUCCCCACCCCACCCUCGUUGACAUUUUCACCACUAACCAUUCAUGACGCUAUUGUUGGUUUUGGAUUGAAAGGUCUGCGUUGUCUCGACAAGUGUUUCCCUUCGAAUGACAUUUGUUUGGCGAAUGUGUCACUUUUAUAACGAUGUAAGACGGAAGUGCAGUUUAACUUCGUUUUUGUUCUUUUGCAUCCAUCUCCGUUGCUGUGCGUCAGGAGAUGGCUCGUGUUGUAAAAAAUAAAUAAUAAAAAAACACUCAUUUUAGAUGA